rnacentral:rRNA from 1 species
CUGAUGUUAGCGGCGGACGGGUGAGUAACACGUGGGUAACCUACCUAUAAGACUGGGAUAACUCCGGGAAACCGGGGCUAAUACCGGAUAANAUUUUGAACCGCAUGGUUCAAUAGUGAAAGACGGUCUCGGCUGCCACUUAUAGAUGGACCCGCGCCGUAUUAGCUAGUUGGUAAGGUAACGGCUUACCAAGGCGACGAUACGUAGCCGACCUGAGAGGGUGAUCGGCCACACUGGAACUGAGACACGGUCCAGACUCCUACGGGAGGCAGCAGCC